rnacentral:rRNA from 1 species
GACGAACGCUGGCGGCGUGCUUAACACAUGCAAGUCGAACGGAAAGGCCCUGCUUUUGUGGGGUGCUCGAGUGGCGAACGGGUGAGUAACACGUGAGUAACCUGCCCUUGACUUUGGGAUAACUUCAGGAAACUGGGGCUAAUACCGGAUAGGAGCUCCUGCUGCAUGGUGGGGGUUGGAAAGUUUCGGCGGUUGGGGCUGGCCUCGCGGCUUAUCAGCUUGUUGGUGGGGUAGUGGCUUACCAAGGCUUUGACGGGUAGCCGGCCUGAGAAGGUGACCGGACAACUUGGGACUGAGCCACGGCCCUAACUCCUACGGGAGGAAGGAGUGGCCAAUAUUGCAGCAUGGGCGGAAGCCUGAUGUCGCCACGCCGAGUGCCGGAUGAAGGCCUUCCGGUUGUAAACCGCUUUCUCCUGUAAUGAAGCGUCAGUGACGGUAAUGUAUGAAGAAGCACCGGCUAACUACGUG